rnacentral:rRNA from 1 species
UACGUAGGGGGCAAGCGUUGUCCGGAAUUAUUGGGCGUAAAGAGCGUGUAGGCGGUCCGGUAAGUCAGCUGUGAAAGUCAAGGGCUCAACCCUUGAAUGCCGGUUGAUACUGUCGGGCUAGAGUCCGGAAGAGGCGAGUGGAAUUCCCGGUGUAGCGGUGAAAUGCGUAGAGAUCAGGAAGAACAUCGGUGGCGAAGGCGCUCUGCUGGACCAUAACUGACACUCAGGGACGAAAGCUAGGGGAGCGAAUGGG